UACAGAGGUCCUAAGCGUUGUUCGGAUUCAUUGGGCGUAAAGGGUGCGUAGGCGGCGCGGUAAGUCGGGUGUGAAAUCUCGGGGCUUAACUCCGAAACUGCAUUCGAUACUGCCGUGCUUGAGGACUGGAGAGGAGACUGGAAUUUACGGUGUAGCGGUGAAAUGCGUAGAUAUCAGGAGGAACACCGGUGGCGAAGGCGGCUCUCUGGACGGUGACUGACGCUGAGACGCGAAAGCGUGGGGAGCAAACAGG
rnacentral:rRNA from 1 species